UGAAGCUUUUGGGUUUUAAGAAAGGGUUUAAGGCGAAUAUAUAUAGACUACACAAGAAGCCAGCCAAGUUGAAAUACUUUUCUUUGCUUGUUUGUUUUUUAUUUUUUGCCGUGGUUUUUUAAUUUUAUAAAAUGAAAAAGGUUUAGGUUUGAAGUUUUUGUUUUCUAAUGUUUCUAGUGUUUAGCUUUGCCUUCCCUAUAUUGCUUUUCUCAUUUAUGCCUUUUUUAUCCAUAGAGGGAUUUGUAUUAACCAGGACGAGGGAUUUCUUAUUAAAAUAAUAAAUAUUAGGCUCCAUGACAAUAAAAUUUGCAAGCACAUGUAUGGAAAUACAUUUGUGUGUGUUUUGUUUACAUGUAUUCUACAAG
rnacentral:lncRNA from 1 species